UACGUAGGUGACCAGCGUUGUCCGGAUUUACUGGGCGUAAAGAGCGCGCAGGCGGUCGUUCAAGUCGAGUGUGAAAGCCCCCGGCUCAACUGGGGAGGGUCAUUCGAUACUGAUCGACUGGAAGGCAGGAGAGGGAAGCGGAAUUCCCGGUGUAGUGGUGAAAUGCGUAGAUAUCGGGAGGAACACCAGUGGCGAAGGCGGGUCUCUGGGCCGUAACUGACGCUGAGGAGCGAAAGCGUGGGGAGCGAACAGG
rnacentral:rRNA from 1 species